CGCGUAGGCGGUCUUGUCAGUCAGGCGUGAAAGCCCCGGGCUUAACCCGGGAACUGCGUUUGAUACUGCAAGACUUGAGAAUGGGAGGGGAAAGUGGAAUUCCUAGUGUAGAGGUGAAAUUCGUAGAUAUUAGGAGGAACACCAGAGGCGAAGGCGGCUUUCUGGUCCAUUUCUGACGCUGAGGCGCGAAAGCGUGGGGAGCAAACA
rnacentral:rRNA from 1 species